rnacentral:rRNA from 1 species
CAGCAGCCGCGGGAAUACGUAGGUGGCAAGCGUUGUCCGGAUUUAUUGGGCGUAAAGCGAGCGCAGGCGGUUUCUUAAGUCUGAUGUGAAAGCCCCCGGCCCAACCGGGGAGGGUCAUUGGAAACUGGGAAACUUGAGUGCAGAAGAGGAGAGUGGAAUUCCAUGUGUAGCGGUGAAAUGCGUAGAUAUAUGGAGGAACACCAGUGGCGAAGGCGGCUCUCUGGUCUGUAACUGACGCUGAGGCUCGAAAGCGUGGGGAGCAAACAGGAUUAGAUACCCGUGUAGUCCCUGUCUCUUAUAC